CUUGGUCAUUUAGAGGAAGUAAAAGUCGUAACAAGGUUUCCGUAGGUGAACCUGCGGAAGGAUCAUAGUAAUCGUCUUUGACGUUCGCUUAUUCCGUUCCCCUUGGGACGUUAAGGUGCUCUGGUCGAGGAUAAAUGACCCCUCUGACCGAGGUAAAACCCGUCGCUCUGUGUUACCUCUUGAGGCACACGUUAAAGAUCGUUCCGCAUUGUGAGUCUAACACCAGUUGUACUUGGGGUUUACAACCGGUAGCGAUGGAUCCCUUGGCACGUCAUUCGAUGAAGACCGUUGCAAAUUGCGAUAAAGUGAUGUGAUGCGCAAGUCCACCACUUAUACGUGAAUCAUCGAGUUGUUGAACGCAUUGCACCGCGCCCUAAUCCGGCUGCGGUAUGCCCCUUUGAGCGUCAUUGUAUUCCUUCGGGAGUCCUUAAUACAAAGGACCCGAGUUCGGAGUCCUCGGUCCUCUGGAUCGUGUUCUCUUAGAUGCGUCGCACCGAUCGCCUGAUGGGUCUCUAAUGCCUAAGCGUGGAGUUCCUUCAGAGUCCGAGAUGUGCUUGACCGGGUGUUGAGCUCGUGUCACCAAGUCUGCCUCACAAGCAGUACUACAACGCAUGACCUCAUUGGGGUAGGACAACCCGCUAGACUUAAGCAUAUCAAUAAGCGGAGGA
rnacentral:rRNA from 1 species